rnacentral:lncRNA from 1 species
AUUGAUCCUGAGUUUUCGUGGUGCAAGCAAACUUAUUGCAGGUAGCCAGAGAAAGUUCUACACAAAUGGAAACAAGACUCGAGGAAAUCAACAAACAUCUAAGUCCUAAUAGCUGCUAACGGCCUAGGUUAUGAUUCAAUAAACAACCAAGAAUUAACAAAGGUGAAAUUUUCCAUCUUUUUUUUAAAUGGCAUGUUUC